GACGAACGCUGGCGGCGUGCCUAAUACAUGCAAGUCGAACGCAGUGGGGACGGGUGAGUAACAUGUGGGUAACCUUCCAUCAGGGGGGAUAACAUUUGGCCACAGGUGCUAAACCGAUACUGAUGGAUGGACUCGCUGUGCAUUAGCUAGUUGGGGAGGUAACGGCUCACCAAGGCCACGCUGCCUAGCCGGCCUGAGAGGGUGAUCGGCCACACUGGGACUGAGACACGGCCCAGAUGCCUACGGGAGGCAGCAGUAGGGAAUCUUCGGCAAUGGACGAAAGUCUGACCGAGCAACGCCGCGUGUGUGAAGAAGGUUUUCGGAUCGUAAAACUCUGUUGUUAGAGAAGCGGUAUCUAACCAGAAAGCCACGGCUAACUACGUGCCAGCAGCCGCGGUAAUAC
rnacentral:rRNA from 1 species